GAUGAACGCUGGCGGCGUGCUUAACACAUGCAAGUCGAACGGAAAGGCCCUGCUUUUGUGGGGUUCUCGAGUGGCGAACGGGUGAGUAACACGUGAGUAACCUCCCCUUGACUUUGGGAUAACUUCAGGAAACUGGGGCUAAUAUCGGGUAGGAGCUCCUGCUGCAUGGUGGGGGUUGGAAAGUUUCGGCGGUUGGGGCUGGACUCGCGGCUUAUCAGCUUGUUGGUGGGGUAGUGGCUUACCAAGGCUUUGACGGGUAGCCGGCCUGAGAGGGUGACCGGCCACAUUGGGACUGAGAUACGGCCCAGACUCCUACGGGAGGCAGCAGUGGGGAAUAUUGCACAAUGGGCGGAAGCCUGAUGCAGCAACGCCGCGUGCGGGAUGACGGCCUUCGGGUUGUAAACCGAUUUCGCCUGUGACGAAGCGUGAGUGACGGUAAUGGGUAAAGAAGCACCGGCUAACUACGUG
rnacentral:rRNA from 1 species